rnacentral:rRNA from 1 species
CCUACGGGGGGCAGCAGUGAGGAAUAUUGGUCAAUGGGCUUACGCCUGAACCAGCCAAGUCGCGUGAGGGAAGACUGCCCUAUGGGUUGUAAACCUCUUUUAUAAAGGAAUAAAACGAGGCACGUGUGCCUUUUUGCAUGUACUUUAUGAAUAAGGAUCGGCUAACUCCGUGCCAGCAGCCGCGGUAAUACGGAGGAUCCGAGCGUUAUCCGGAUUUAUUGGGUUUAAAGGGAGCGUAGAUGGGUUGUUAAGUCAGUUGUGAAAGUUUGCGGUUCAACCGUAAAAUUGCAAUUGAUACUGGCAGUCUUGAGUACAGUUGAGGUAGGCGGAAUUCGUGGUGUAGCGGUGAAAUGCUUAGAUAUCACGAAGAACCCCGAUUGCGAAGGCAGCUUACUAAACUGUGACUGACAUUGAUGCUCGAAAGUGUGGGUAUCAAACAGGAUUAGAUACCCCUGUAGUC